rnacentral:rRNA from 1 species
AAAGAUUAAGCCAUGCAUGUCUAAGUACACGCCCCAGUACGGCGAAACCGCGAAUGGCUCAUUAAAUCACACCUAAUGUACUGGACGAUGACUGUUACUCGGAUAACUGCGGUAAUUCUGGAGCUAAUACGUGCGUGAUUGCCCUGACCUUGCGGAAAGGGUGCUUUUAUUAGAUCAAAACCAAACGGUACCCUUCGGGGCGCCGUUCCCUUGGUGACUCUGAAUAACUUUGAGCGGAUCGCACGGCUAAACGCCGGCGACGUGUCCUUCCAAGGUGUGCCCUAUCAACUGUCGACUGU